rnacentral:tRNA from 1 species
GGCACUGUGGCUCAGUUUGUUAAAGUCCUGGCCUGCAGUGCCAGCAUCCUAUAUGGGCACUGGUUCAAGUCCUGGCUGUUCCA